GGUUAAGCGACUAAGCGUACACGGUGGAUGCCCUGGCAGUCAGAGGCGAUGAAGGGCGUGCUAAUCUGCGAUAAGCGCCGGUAAGGUGAUAUGAACCGUUAUAACCGGCGAUACCCGAAUGGGGAAACCCAGUGUGACUCGUCACACUAUCAUUAACUGAAUCCAUAGGUUAAUGAGGCGAACCGGGAGAACUGAAACAUCUAAGUACCCCGAGGAAAAGAAAUCAACCGAGAUUCCCCCAGUAGCGGCGAGCGAACGGGGAGGAGCCCAGAGCCUGAAUCAGCAUGUGUGUUAGUGGAAGCGUCUGGAAAGGCGCGCGAUACAGGGUGACAGCCCCGUACACAAAAGCGCAUGUGCUGUGAGCUCGAUGAGUAGGGCGGGACACGUGGUAUCCUGUCUGAAUAUGGGGGGACCAUCCUCCAAGGCUAAAUACUCCUGACUGACCGAUAGUGAACCAGUACCGUGAGGGAAAGGCGAAAAGAACCCCGGCGAGGGGAGUGAAAAAGAACCUGAAACCGUGUACGUACAAGCAGUGGGAGCACAGGUUUACCUGUGUGACUGCGUACCUUUUGUAUAAUGGGUCAGCGACUUAUAUUCUGUAGCAAGGUUAACCGAAUAGGGGAGCCGGAGGGAAACCGAGUCUUAAUUGGGCGUUAAGUUGCAGGGUAUAGACCCGAAACCCGGUGAUCUAGCCAUGGGCAGGUUGAAGGUUGGGUAACACUAACUGGAGGACCGAACCGACUAAUGUUGAAAAAUUAGCGGAUGACCUGUGGCUGGGGGUGAAAGGCCAAUCAAACCGGGAGAUAGCUGGUUCUCCCCGAAAGCUAUUUAGGUAGCGCCUCGUGAAUUCAUCUCCGGGGGUAGAGCACUGUUUCGGCUAGGGGGCCAUCCCGGCUUACCAACCCGAUGCAAACUGCGAAUACCGGAGAAUGUUAUCACGGGAGACACACGGCGGGUGCUAACGUCCGUCGUGAAGAGGGAAACAACCCAGACCGCCAGCUAAGGUCCCAAAGUCAUGGUUAAGUGGGAAACGAUGUGGGAAGGCCCAGACAGCCAGGAUGUUGGCUUAGAAGCAGCCAUCAUUUAAAGAAAGCGUAAUAGCUCACUGGUCGAGUCGGCCUGCGCGGAAGAUGUAACGGGGCUAAACCAUGCACCGAAGCUGCGGCAGCGACGCUUAUGCGUUGUUGGGUAGGGGAGCGUUCUGUAAGCCUGUGAAGGUGUGUCGUGAGGCAUGCUGGAGGUAUCAGAAGUGCGAAUGCUGACAUAAGUAACGAUAAAGCGGGUGAAAAGCCCGCUCGCCGGAAGACCAAGGGUUCCUGUCCAACGUUAAUCGGGGCAGGGUGAGUCGACCCCUAAGGCGAGGCCGAAAGGCGUAGUCGAUGGGAAACGGGUUAAUAUUCCCGUACUUGGUGUUACUGCGAAGGGGGGACGGAGAAGGCUAUGUUGGCCGGGCGACGGUUGUCCCGGUUUAAGCGUGUAGGUGUGUGUUCCAGGUAAAUCCGGUUCACUUUAACACUGAGGCGUGACGACGAGGCACUACGGUGCUGAAGCAACAAAUGCCCUGCUUCCAGGAAAAGCCUCUAAGCAUCAGGUAACAUCAAAUCGUACCCCAAACCGACACAGGUGGUCAGGUAGAGAAUACCAAGGCGCUUGAGAGAACUCGGGUGAAGGAACUAGGCAAAAUGGUGCCGUAACUUCGGGAGAAGGCACGCUGACACGUAGGUGAAGUGAUUUACUCAUGGAGCUGAAGUCAGUCGAAGAUACCAGCUGGCUGCAACUGUUUAUUAAAAACACAGCACUGUGCAAACACGAAAGUGGACGUAUACGGUGUGACGCCUGCCCGGUGCCGGAAGGUUAAUUGAUGGGGUCAGCGCAAGCGAAGCUCCUGAUCGAAGCCCCGGUAAACGGCGGCCGUAACUAUAACGGUCCUAAGGUAGCGAAAUUCCUUGUCGGGUAAGUUCCGACCUGCACGAAUGGCGUAAUGAUGGCCAGGCUGUCUCCACCCGAGACUCAGUGAAAUUGAACUCGCUGUGAAGAUGCAGUGUACCCGCGGCAAGACGGAAAGACCCCGUGAACCUUUACUAUAGCUUGACACUGAACAUUGAGCCUUGAUGUGUAGGAUAGGUGGGAGGCUUUGAAGCGUGGACGCCAGUCUGCGUGGAGCCGACCUUGAAAUACCACCCUUUAAUGUUUGAUGUUCUAACGUGGACCCGUUACCCGGGUUGCGGACAGUGUCUGGUGGGUAGUUUGACUGGGGCGGUCUCCUCCUAAAGAGUAACGGAGGAGCACGAAGGUUGGCUAAUCCUGGUCGGACAUCAGGAGGUUAGUGCAAUGGCAUAAGCCAGCUUGACUGCGAGCGUGACGGCGCGAGCAGGUGCGAAAGCAGGUCAUAGUGAUCCGGUGGUUCUGAAUGGAAGGGCCAUCGCUCAACGGAUAAAAGGUACUCCGGGGAUAACAGGCUGAUACCGCCCAAGAGUUCAUAUCGACGGCGGUGUUUGGCACCUCGAUGUCGGCUCAUCACAUCCUGGGGCUGAAGUAGGUCCCAAGGGUAUGGCUGUUCGCCAUUUAAAGUGGUACGCGAGCUGGGUUUAGAACGUCGUGAGACAGUUCGGUCCCUAUCUGCCGUGGGCGCUGGAGAACUGAGGGGGGCUGCUCCUAGUACGAGAGGACCGGAGUGGACGCAUCACUGGUGUUCGGGUUGUCAUGCCAAUGGCACUGCCCGGUAGCUAAAUGCGGAAGAGAUAAGUGCUGAAAGCAUCUAAGCACGAAACUUGCCCCGAGAUGAGUUCUCCCUGAGACUUUAAGUCUCCUGAAGGAACGUUGAAGACGACGACGUUGAUAGGCCGGGUGUGUAAGCGCAGCGAUGCGUUGAGCUAACCGGUACUAAUGAACCGUGAGGCUUAACCUU
rnacentral:rRNA from 1 species